GGGACUGGGCCUGAGAAGGGAGGAGUUAUUCAGGCCUCCGCCAGCUUCUAGGCCCUGGGGAUGGUCUUUCACCUCCCUCUUUCUGAUCUCUUUUUCAUGCUCCUCCUUGCUCCAAAGAAAAGCCGGAUGGCAAAAGAGCCCAGAACCUAUUGGAACUGACAAAAUCAAGUCACGGCGCCUACAAAGAUGAGGGGCAGAUUCUGGCUGCCUUUUAAUUUCGUCCUUCACCUGAUAUCUGUGCCAGAGAAUGUCUUCCAGGAGUUCUGCUACAGAGAAGAGAGUAACCCCCAUCCAUCAUGGCCAAAGCACCCAGUCAGGCUCCGCUCUGGAUCCAGCCCGACAAAUGCAACCCUUGAAUAGGGUUUGUGCAAGCAAACUGGAUGACGACCGAAGAAACCCUGUCGCUUCUGAGAAGACACCCAAUCCAAGAAUGUGAGUUCUGGAAAUGUCAUUAAAUGUCAG
rnacentral:lncRNA from 1 species